GACGGAGGCGCGAGCGUUGUCCGGAUUUAUUGGGCGUAAAGAGCUCGUAGGCGGUCCGUCGCGUCGAAUGUGAAAACCCGGGGCUCAACUCCGGGCUUGCAUUCGAUACGGGCGGACUAGAGUUCGGUAGGGGAGACUGGAAUUCCUGGUGUAGCGGUGAAAUGCGCAGAUAUCAGGAGGAACACCGGUGGCGAAGGCGGAUCUCUGGGCCUUACCUGACGCUGAGGCGCGAAAGCUAGGGGAGCGAACAGG
rnacentral:rRNA from 1 species